AAAUCAUUUAUGCUGAGAUCACGGUAGUAUCUGUUCUUAUCAGUUUAAUAGUUGAUAGGUCUUCUAUCUGAGAACAAUAUAUCAGGUAGAUUUUUUUUAGUCAGUAAUCAAUUAGGAACUUGUUGCAUCUACUGCACACAUUGAGCUGGAAUUGUAGUACCUCCAGGAACAGUGCACCCCCA
rnacentral:snRNA from 1 species